UGAAACUGCGAAUGGCUCAUUAAAACAGUUAUAGUUUAUUUGAUAAUCGAAUUUACAUGGAUAACCGUGGUAAUUCUAGAGCUAAUACAUGCUGGUUAGCCUGACUUUUGAGGAAGGGCUGUAUUUAUUAGAUAACAAACCAAUAUUCCCCGUGUCUAUUGUGAUGACUCAUAAUAACUGAUCGAAUCGCAUGGACUUUGUCCGCGAUACAUCAUUCAAGUUUCUGCCCCAUCAGCUUUCGAUGGUAGUGUAUUGGACUACCAUGGCUUUAACGGGUAACGGAGGAUUAGGGUUCGAUUCCGGAGAGGGAGCCUGAGAAACGGCUACCACAUCUAAGGAAGGCAGCAGGCGCGUAAAUUACCCAAUCCUAAUUCAGGGAGGUAGUGACAAGAAAUAACG
rnacentral:rRNA from 1 species